AAUUGGUUAACCUCUUCAGUUUUUUGUAUUAGUUCCAUAAAUGAUCUGUUACGACGGGAAGGUGCUGCCGGAGAAAGACAAGAAAAGUGGAAGAAUUCAAGCGUUUCUCUUGAUUGCAAAGUUCUGAUCUAGAUUUAUUUUUUAAUAGGUUAUGAACUUUUACAACAAGAACAACAACAACAGCAAAAACGUAGCAAAUGUGUUGAAGUAAAUCACAAAAUUGACCAUGUGAUGGUGAUGAUAAAACAAUAAAAAAAAAAUAGCAACUCAAUUUAAUGGAAAUGUAUGAACUUUUGAUUUCCCCAAGGAAUUUGUCACUUAUGGUGCUUGGAGAGUGUGGAGUGCGAACAAUGGAAUUGUGGCAGUAGUAUUCGCCAGAUGGGAAAGAUAUGAAAUGAAUGCGGGAAUUGUGCCGGGGAAAUGCAAAAAAAUCCACCACCAUCAUGCGACACAAAGUGGAUGACUUUAUUUAAAGUUGCAAAUGACAGGGAAUAAUUUAACGUUUAUGGAUGCGUAAAUAGCGACAUAU